GUCUUUAUGUAUGAAAUAUAAAGUCUGGCCUGCCCACUGAUUUUUUUAAAGGGCCGCGGUAAAUUGACCGUGCGAAGGUAGCAUAAUCAAUAGUCUUUUAAUUGGAGGCUGGAAUGAAUGGUCGGACGGGGAUAGUCUGUCUUGUUUUUAAUAAUUGAACUUUACUUUUAAGUGAAAAGGCUUAAAUAUUUAAGUGGGACGAUAAGACCCUAUAAAACUUUAUGUGUAAAAUUUGUAUGUAAAGUAUUUAUUAACAUUAAUAAGUUUUAUUACAUUGUGUUGGGGCGACAGAGAUAUAAUAAGAUAACUGUCUUUAAGAAGAAAUAACAUAAUUAUUUUUAAAUUGAUCCUUAAUUUAGGAUUAAAAGUUUAAGUUACUUUAGGGAUAACAGCGUAAUUUUUUCUGAGAGUUCUUUUCGAAGAAAGUAGUUGCGACCUCGAUGUUGAAUUAAGAUGUUAUCAAGGUGCAGAAGCUUUGAUUGUAGGUCUGUUCGACCUUUAAAAUCUUACAUGAUUUGAGUUCAAACCGGUGUGAG
rnacentral:rRNA from 1 species